ACAAUUUGAAAUCAGCUACUAUUCACAGUGCACGUUGUCUUUUUUGUUUCUCAAGUGUGCAUUGAAUUUAGAUUUUGACUUGUUACUUGGUAGGUGCAUCUUUUGUUAAUGUUUUUUGUUGGAUUGAGGGGCAUGCCCCCGAUUUCAUUUCAUUGCAUGAAAGGAAACCAAUAAACAGAGUGCGUAAUCUUAGAUUCCAUUCAGCCUAGAUGUCCUACCGUGACAUCCAGGCAUCAGCAACUAGACAGCCAAGAGAAUAAAGCUUGGAACUAAGAAAAAGGAACUCCACACUCAGAAUGCACACCCAGGUGAGAGGUAACCACACAGGGCGCUCAUCGCCACAGACUUUCCAGGGAGAACAGUAGUUCAGCUAACAGUACAGGCAGAAUUACUUCCCAACGCCAAGACGUUUCAUCAUGGGCGCCCAUCCUUUGCUCUUGUUGAAGAACCCGUUCUCAACAUCAACCAGCAGUGCUGCGACGGCCCGCAACAUCUGUUGCCCUUCUUUUCUCUGUAGACCAGCCCAGUAGGACAUCCAAUAAGAGAUUUGAAAGAACAUACUAGGGUCAUGCGGGUAAACAUGAUGAAACGUAGCAGCAUUCCUGGCUUUCCACAAAGUCCAAAACACCGCAGAAACACCCACUACUAUUGUUUGUCUAAUAUUCUUAGGAAUUUUUUCUACCCAGGCAGUAAACUCUUCUAUAUUGUAUGGAAUGUCAUGAAUUCCAGUUACAUUCCUAACCACACGCCACACAAACUUAGCCACCACACAUGCACAGAAAAGAUGUUCAGCCGUUUCUGGGUAAUCACAGAAGCUACAGUUUUUAUCCUUUCCUUCCAGUUUUUUUCCGCCAAAUUAUCUCUAGUUAGGACACUAUUCUUAAACAUCAACCACAGGAAAACUUUUACUUUCAGCCGUAUCCUCGCCUGCCACAGUUUCCUAUGAGGCUAGGCAACCUGAUCUAUUUUUAAAGCAAGGUACAAAGAUCUAACAGUGAAUCUACCUGAUUUAGUUAGUAGCUAGCUACAUCUAUCCUCUUGAUCAUUUAAAACUACUUUACUGCAUAGAUUUUUGAGUUCAUACCACAUAUCACCCAUGUCUCCCCACAAAACUCUUCUAAAUCUAAUCAAACUCAUAUUAUCAGAUAAAGCUUUGGCGACAGUAAAAUCUGAACUAAAGGUCAGCGGAUAAGGCCUAGGGAACUGCACACUAAGAGGUUUGUCUCCGAGCCAUACAUCACUCCAAAACAUAGUCCUCUCCCCAUUACCCACCAUCUUCCUACAAUAUUGCAGGAAAAUUGGUUUAACCUUCAUUAGGCACUGCCAGAAAUGAGAAUGACCAGGUUUUUUCUUACUAUCUCUAAGGGUACAUCUACUUAAGUAUUUCUUUCUCACUAAAUCUUGCCACACACCACUACCAUUUUCAAGUUUCCAGAUCCAUUUGCACAGUAAGCAGAUGUUCAUAAUAUCAAGAUCUAAGACGCCUAAACCCCCCAUCUCUUUAGGUCUGCAAACAUCCUCCCAUUUCACUAGAUGGUACUUUUUAACCCCCUCCUCCUCUUGCCAUAGCAUUCUUUUCAUAAAAAAGUUCAUCUUCUUACUAGGGCCUUUGGGUAGCUCAAAUAGAGAAAUCAUGUACAAAUUAAUAUUGCUUAAACUAGACGUAAUUAAAAUCAAUCUCCCCCCAUAAGAUUUGUUCCUCCCUUUCCAUACACUUAGCUUCUUCUCCAUUUUCUCCUCAGCCCAAUUCCAGUCACUAUUACAUAAUCUAACUGCAUUAAUAAAGAUACCUAAAUAUCUAAAAGGAAGUUUUCCUACAGCACAAGUAAAUAUUGUAGAGUAAUUUUCCUGUUUGUCCUUUGCUUCACCAAAACAAAAAAACUCUCUCUUGUGAAAAUUAACUUUAAGGCCAGACAAUUGUUCAAAUAAACAAAGAAUAAUUUCAAGUUUCUAGCACUUUCCAGAUUGUGUCUAAACAUGAAAAUGGUGUCAUCAGCGUAUUGUAACAUAUUAAUGCCAUCUGGAACAAAAUCUUGUGCUAACCCUUGGAUAAGGUCCAUAUUUUGUGCCUUAGCUAAAAGCAAAUUAAGUAUAUCGAUGGCAAUAUUAAAAAGAAUGGGGGAGAAAGGGUCUCCCUGUCUCAGUCCUUUUUCGUCUCCAAAAAGGGCCAAUUUGAUCAUUGACCAUGACUGCUACUUUACUCCUCUCUACUGUCUGCUUGACCCAACCAAUAAAUCUAGAUGAAAAGCCUUUUUUCUCCAUGACAAAAUACAAAAACUCCCUGUUAAUCUUGUCAUAAGCCUUCUCAAAAUCUACUUUAAACAAAUCGGCACUCUCUUUUCCUAUGAACUUCAUGCAACACAAUAACCCCAUCUAGUAUAUACCUCCCUCUAAUAAAAGUUGUUUGCACAGGAGCUACUAUUGUAUCAGCUACAAUAAUAGCUCUAUUAUUUAGAACUUAUGUAAAAAUCUUGGAAAUCACAUUCAGCAAACAGAUUGGUCUAUAUUGUUGUAAAGUUUGAGCGUCAGCACAUUUUGGAAUUAACGCAAGGACACCAUAAUUAAAUCUAGCUAAAUCUAACUUUCCUUCAUAAAAAUCACUGAAAAGCUCCAAAAUGUCCACUCCAAUUAUGUGCCAGUACUUGUGAUAAAAUUCUAUAGGAAAUCCGUCAGGUCCAGGUGCUUUGUAAGAUUUCAUAUCAAAAACAGCAAUCUUAAUCUCUUCUAAAGUAAACUCCCUAUCCAAAUUUUUAUUAUCGGCAUCACUCAAAACCACAGGUAAAUUAAUAUCAAGGGAAAUAUUAUUCAUACCUACAGCAGGACCAAAUAGGUUUUUGUAAAAGGAAGUGGCAAAAAGCAAUAAAUCUUUGUCCCCCUGGAUCACAUCAUUAGCAGCAGUUUUAACAGAGGUAAUUCUGUUUUUCCUUUUUCUACUACUAGCCUUAGAUAUAAAAUAAGAAGUUAAAGCGUCACCCUCUAAUAGUUCCUUCUCUUUCGAUCUCUGUAACCACAUUAUCUCCUCCUCUUUAUUAAUCUUUGCAAGUUCCUCUAACUUUUUCCUUAACAUAUACUCUCUCCGUCCGGGAAAAGUUGUCCAGCGCUUAGUUCAUUUCUAAUUUUGCAAAAAAAAAACCCUUCUAUCUUCAAAUCUCUUGCUAAUCAGCCCCCCUGCUUCUUCCUUCUUUCUUCGUCGGCCGCGUGCACCGUGGUCGCCCAAGCCACUGUCGGCACCCGUCGUAGGGCCGAGCGCGUGACGACGGCCAUGGCCUGCGCUGCCGAUGUGAACCACCACCGCCCGUGCCUACCUGGGCCGCCCGAGGCGAGCUGCACCACCGCUGUGAACCACCGCCGCCUGUGCCCACCUGUGCGGCCCGAGGCGAGCUGCGCCGUCCACCUGCUACUCCGCGGCGACCACCUCGACGGGCGGCGGCUCCACGGCUGAAGGGCGCUGCGCCGCCGCCAUCUUCUCCCUCCGUGACCCCCUCCGCCGCCCCAGGUUGCGCCGCUAUCCCCUCCCGCCACCCAGGGCAUGCGCCGCCGCCGCCAGGACCUGCGCCAGCCUGGGUCUCGAGCGCCCGGACCUGGAACUGAAGUUCAUCCUCAACCUCGAGCUCCGUGUUGUCUCCCCCACUCCUCUCCUCGACCUGCUGCUCGUCUGCAAGUUGUUGCUCCUCCCCGGCGGGUCUGCUCGUGCUGCUGCCGAUGAGAAGAAGAACCCAAGCUCCAAUUUAUAUACAUUGCACUUGUUCAUUAAUUUCAAACACAAUUGAUCAUGUACUCUGCAGAAAUGUUGCAAAAAAGAUUCAGUUAACACAGAAGUUAACUGAACGUGUCCCUGAAUGUCCAAUGUUCACCAGUUAACUGAAUGUUAACAGAAGUUAACUGAAUCUUUGGAUAAUUUCUGAUCCUCACCUAGAGUAGAAGCAAUUUCUGAUCUACUGUUACUGUGGAUUAAGUUGGAUAUUGUUGGACUAACAUGAUUUUCUAGACAUAGCCCUAAAAUUUCUACACACUGAUUUGACAAGCAACACUGAAAAUAGAACAUUUACACUGAAAAAUAGAACCCCCAGGAAUCUGUAUUCAGUGAUCUUGUACUCUGAAAAUAGAACAUUUACACUGAAGCUUCAAGAAAAAUUUCAGUGAUCUUGUACUCAAUUUAGUGGCAAUCAGACUUGAGAUGCAAAACUGAAGCUUCGAAACUGAAACAAUGACAAAAUUACUUGGGAGUACUCCAUUUAUCUACCUCUGUCAUGAAAGGAGUACUAGACAGCAGCAGUUGUACACCAAGUGCUGCCGGCCGCCCUCUAACUAAUUCAUUCAUGGAUGAUUUUAAUCACUGACUCAUCCUGCUAGAUCCAUCACUAAAACUAAUUAGUAAUUUGAUUUAUCCGGCAUUUGCUAGUUGAGAAUAAAUGUUCACUCUUAUCUCACAUUCAGUUGUUUAAGUUUCAGUCUAAGCUAGAAUUUCCAGUUUACACACAGAUGUUGUCAGGCCAGGUGUAAUGCCCUAGGGAGACUGAGGUUGCAGCCAAUUAGGUAAAAAUAGGAUGAGCUGCUGAAGAAAUUAGCCAAUUAGCCCAUUGUGUCCCCAAGUGUGAUCCCCUAGUUACACACAUGUUGUCAGGCCAAGUGUGAUCCCCUAGUGAGAUUUGUUUGCCAUGUUUUCUAACUCAAGAAAUACCAGUUGGCCGGCAUGCAGUCUUAUGCAAAUGUCAGAAGCAGUAAAUUUCAGUAAAAAAAAAAUCAGUUUUGACACAUAAAUCAUGGAGGGGAAUUGAAGGAGGGAGGCUUAACAUGCCAAGAAGACGCCACCGCCGUCGUCGAGCUCGCAGUACAAUAUGUGCAGGUAUGGUGGAGCUCGCAGUAGAGAAGAUGUCUCCGCCGCCAUCGAGCUUGCUGUCAUCGGGCUCGUCGGCUACUUCUCCUGCCGUCUGGCCUCGCAACCACCAUAUCAGCCUUGCCGACGCCGGAUCUGAAGCAGACGGAGCAGAGAGCGGAGGUCACUAGGGAGGGGGAAGCUAGGGGAGGAAGGCAAGCUGGAGCUGCGCGAGCAGGAGAGAGCGGCGGAGGAGGCAGUUGCGGCGGUGGUGGAGCAGGGCAGCUGCGGCUUCUGUGGGGAGGUCAGAGAAAUCGAGGCUUCUCCUCGCUCGGGGAAGCGACGCGGCGGAGGAGGGGAACAAGGAGGGGAGCAGAGCAGGGAGCUACGCGGGGAAUCUCCGCCGACGCUAGCGGAAGCUUCUUGGGGAGCCGAGCAGAGGGCUUCGGCAAGGGAGACGAGCAGGGGGAACUGGCGGGGAGAGGAGCGGGGGUGGGGGAGUGUGUCGUUUGUCAGGAAUACAGUGAGGGGGUUUUCGCAA
rnacentral:lncRNA from 1 species